GGAAGUUCUACCAGUGCUGGAAGUUCUAUCAGAGUGCAGAGAGACACCAGAAGCACUCAGUAUUGGUGCUCUGAUACAGAGGAAAGAAGAAGAAGAUGGAAGAAGAAGACCAAGGUGAGGAGAAGCCCAUGCUUCAGGUCCCGACUCCUGAGAGCCCAGUGGAGACCGCCAGACGAACAGGAGCCAUACCCUGCAGGACUCCCACAGCUGUGCAGAUGAAGACUCCAGGAGCUGUGCAGAAGACUCCAGCAGUUGUGCAGAAGAAGACUGCAGGAGCUGUGCUUAAGACUCCAAAGAGCAUUCAGUUUAGUGGGAGCUGAGAAGGACCACAAAGGACUGCAGCUAUGACCCAAGACCCUCUCUUAUACCUGGUGGAUUCUGAACUAUAAGUCCCAAAUGUACUCUUCAGGUAGUACCACAACGAAGCACGUAUGGCUUCUUUAAUGAUGCAUUUUGAAUUGGUUUCAUUCUGUAAUUGCAUUUAUAUUGCCUCAUCUUUAUCUUUUCAUACUUCUAAAUUUAUGUGAUUUCCAGUUUUCUGAGGGUCUGCUACUGUACAUUCAUUCCCAUAGUGUACUCAAAAAAAACCAGCACAACUACUGCCAACUUGAGGGAUGGGAGCACAGAUCUCUCCCAAAGCUAUUUAGACUAUAUAAUGAUGACAAUUCUAGAGGGAAAAUCACCGAGAGUACGCUUCAUGCACUUCACUCUCUAAUCACACCUGCUUCAACUGAAAGAGGAACCACAGUCAUGGAAAUCAUACUGAGCCAAACAUCCCAGACUUCUAACAUGGUAUGUAUACUCAGCAAUCACCAAGCUAAGCUGAGCAGCCUCAGUUCACGUACACGAUUUAGGACCCUGGGAAUUAAUCUCAGCCAAAGAUAGCACAUCAAUAGUCUGGGACAAAUUCUCAUGAGAGAGCUGCUCACUAGGAAGAUCCUCCUAUAAAUGUGGGAAAAGGUACCAUCCCAACAAAUACGCAAACCUCAACUCAGAACACGAAAAUACACAGAAAAAAACCACAACACUGUUCCUCCACAAGUUUUAGAUUCCUAAUAAGUUAUAAGAUCCUAAAGUGAAAGAGGGACUAUGGUGCGG
rnacentral:lncRNA from 1 species